rnacentral:rRNA from 1 species
UACGUAGGGGGCUAGCGUUGUCCGGAAUCAUUGGGCGUAAAGAGCGUGUAGGCGGUCCGGUAAGUCCGUUGUGAAAGUCAGGGGCUCAACCCUUGAAUGCCGGCGGAUACUGUCGGGCUAGAGUGCGGAAGAGGCGAGUGGAAUUCCUGGUGUAGCGGUGAAAUGCGCAGAUAUCAGGAGGAACACCGAUUGCGAAGGCAGCUCGCUGGGACGUAACUGACGCUGAGACGCGAAAGCGUGGGGAGCAAACAGG